GCACUGCUGAGGAGUCCCAUAAUGGAACGAAACGGUCGUCCCGUGC
rfam:Schistosoma margrebowiei strain Zambia genome assembly, scaffold: SMRZ_contig0000605